rnacentral:lncRNA from 1 species
UCGAACUCGUCGAAGUCAUGGAACUCCUAGAGAUCCGCCUCGACAUCUUCUCCUUUAUCUGAGCAUGGAUUGCACCAAAGGCAACCUGGUAUUUUGUGAAAGCAAGGGUGAGUACACAUCAACGUACUCAGCAAAUGUCCCGUUUGGCUGAGGUGGACUAGCUUUAUGUGGGGUUAAGCUCAAGCAGUUGCUUUUAGUUGGUCAGGUAUUUAUUAUUUGUAGAAGCCAAGUUUUAUCAUAUAACCAUCCCAUGAGCCAUUUCCUCAUCGAGGAAACAUCAUGAUCAUCAUCGAACCAAAAACAUUAGUAGAACCAUUGUAUCUCGAACCAUCUGUAUCUCUAAUCAAAGAGGAUCCCAAGGCCGCUCAUAACCGUGAGCACGGCUGAUAUAUCAGUUUCAUUACCCUCUGCAGAGGUCGCACACUUUACCCAUGAGCCGUGAUUCCCGUUUUGCCCGGGGACCAUGACUCCCCAUUGAUCACUUCCUAGGUGGUCCGGCAGGGUAUCACUACGUAGCUUUUACAAAGAUUCCCUAGAGGUCAUAGCCGCCCGUUAGGUUUCUCCAGUUUGAUAAACAUAGUACCUCUCCCCGCAGGAGGGUGACUAACAAAAGCAAAACGAAAGAACCUCGGCACUUAGCCUCGGCAGAGCAAGCACUGUGCCUGGACACCAUUGACGGCACGACGACGAAGCAACUACACCUCUAGUUCCUCUAAUUAAUUAGCUAAGGGCAUCCCAUUUCACCCUCAUGGUUGCACUGUUAUCCCGGGUGGUCUCUCAACGAACAGGUCCUUACGGAGAGGUACUCGAGAAACAGCCUGAGUCCCCUUAAAUGCCACAAGUAUAUCAUCAUAUCCAGAAUAAAACCAUAGUAUCAUCAUUGUAUCUCAUCAUGUUCAUUGAUUAGAGUAAAGCAAUAGCAUGAAGCUAACCAUAGUAGCCCAAAAGGUAAUCAAGGGUGAGGUAAAUACAAAGCUAGUCAAUCCUUAAGUUGAUCAUGGUAUGCGGUUGAUGAAUUAUAAAGUAAAUGGGACAUAAUAGGUCAGAGGACACUUGCCUUCACCAAACGAGUGCUCAGGGUCUUCAACCUUGUAGAUCUUGAAAAGCUUGAUCACUUGGCCGCCAAAACUUGAUCGUCAAUCCCUCGAAGCUCGGGAACAGAUCACAUCUAUUCGCGACACGUAGCAAAUACGAACAGGCAUAAACAAACAAACAUAUACAUGCAUAAGAACAUUACAUCAUAUAAUGGAACAAAACGUACAAUACGAAAUGGAGAUCGAUUCUACGAUUACGCGAGAAAAGAGAAAUGCGACGUCCAAGGCUACGGUCGAGAAGUUAUCGUGUUUAUGUUAAACAAGUAUCAGUUAGAACAUUUAAUUCAACAUAAUUAUAUUAAUUGACAUUUAUCAAAUAUAAAUUAACACUAGUACUUAGUUUUGACUAACUUACUAUUUUAUUAGUGAACGAUUAAACAAAUAGUUAAUUAAUUGACAUGAGUGAUUAUAAGCGAAUAGUUUAAUAUAACGCGCGGACAGCGUGCGAUAUGCGCGAACAACGCGCGGCAAGGCGCGCGACACGCAAGAACGGCGCGCGCGACACACGAAUGACGUGUGACGACGCUCGAAGAGCACGCGCGACACGCGCGAACGACUCGCGAAUCAGUGUGCUGACAACAUACGAACGACGCGCGGCAAUAGACGAAACAGCGCGCGGACGGCACGUGGAACAACACGUGCGACACGCGCGAACGGUACGCGGACAACGCGAUGACACACGCAAAUGAUACUGCGCGCGAACAUCGCGACAACGCGCGCGAACGGCGCGACGACGGCGAGCGCAACACGCGCGAACGGCGCGCGAACGGCGCGCAAACGGCGCACGCGAGAAUCAUUAACAGAUGUCACGUUUAUACUAAACAAGUAUUAGAUCAAAACAUUUAAGUAGGCAUUAAUCACACUAACAUGUAUUUGUAAAAGUGCAAAUUAAAACUAUAAAGUAGUCUUAAUUAAAUUGUCAUUUUAAUAACCAUUGGAUAAAUAAAUAAUUAAUAAAUAAAUUAAAACAUGUGACAGGGUGAAACAACUUUAUUAACGCGUAGACAACGUUAGUACGAAGUUAACACAACUUGAAUAGACCAAAACAUAUUUAUAACACAAAAGAUAUUGAUAUUUAACGAAUUGGAUGAUGUGGUGCAUUAUAAUUGGCUGGGGUGGCCACACCUAGGAACAUAGGGAACAUAGCCAUAGAAGAUCAGACGUCAGGCUGAAACACAAUUUUCUUUUCUCUCUCUCAUGUGCACGUCACUUUUCUUCUCUCAUAUCCAAUCGCACGAACAUGUAAGGUCCUUCUUCCUUCAUCCAUCUUUCUCCAUGGAAUUAACAGCAAAGGGGAGGGAGAAGGAGGGGACGUGGCCAUGGGAGGAGGGGGAGCCGGUGCUCUAGACAAGGGGCUGGCCACGGCCAUGCCGCAGGGGCCAAGUCAGGAGGCAGCCUGGGCGUGCACUCCAUGGGUGAAGCGGAUCGGAGCCCGGUCAGGUUCUUCACCGCUGGUUGCUCCCUGCUGCGAAGGAAGCCGCGCGGGAAGGGGCUAGGAGCGGGCCAGCUAGCAGGGGUUGUGGGGGAAGCGAGCGGAGGUCAGCUCGGCCACCAUGGCCGAGGCUGGAGGACACAGGGGACACGGCGCUCGUCGGCGGGCGGCACAACUACGCACAGCCUACUGCCAAUGUGGCUAGAUGCAGCACGCGGCCAGGUGACUCACUGGAGUUUGGACUUCUCACCUUGCGACGUAGCACGGUGGGAGAGAUGGCGAAGCCCGCUCCAGCGCGUGACCAACUUGGCUUGGGGAAGUUCCAGCACACGGGUGUUCAAUGACGCGCGACGGACGGGAGCUGCGAAGCAGCGGGGGGGGGGGGGGGGGGGUCUCCUGCGUUCGACGACGCCCGGUCGCGGCGCGGCUCCCUGCGCACGGCAGUGGGCAUGGCGUGGCUGGCAAGGUGCUUCGGCGAGGCACUACGGCGAAGCCCCGACGAGGAGGGUCGCUACGGUAUGCGCAACGUGGAUUGUGUGUAGUGGGGCAGUUGCUACUAGGCUUGAAGGAGCGUCAGUUACCGAAGCCAUGGACGCAUCUAGCGGAGGAGGAAAUGGAUCUGAGCAGUUAUAGGAGGGAGGGGAUAGAGAUGACGUGCGGGAUCCACAAUGCAGUGCUACAAGCGGCUGACAGGCGGGGCUAUGACCAAGGAUGGCUGGGCACUACCCCUGCUCCCGCGCGCGCCGUGCGUGCGCACAUUGGUGCUGGGUGGCCGAGCAGGCCAAGCCGGUUGCCAGGGCUAGUGCCUAGUGGCAUAAAAAAUGUCUCUUUUUUAUUCUUUUUUUAUAUGCAUAGAUAUAUAAUUAUAUAUAUAUAUAUAAAUAUAUUUAUUUACAAUAGAUCAUGCUCAACUAAUUAAAAUUCAGUAGUUUUCCUCCCUCCGAACGUGAACACCUCCAAGAUUAGUUUUAGCAAACUAAUACUGAGCUUCGGCAUAAAGUAUAACACACAUAUUUAUUCAAAAUAACGCCCAUAAAUACUAGGUUAACUUCCCUUUUUAGGAAAGUGAAAAGAUAAGAUAAAAAAGAAAAAAGGAAAGGUAACAACUGAAUUUUAGAGUAAAGAUAAGAAAAUUUUGUUCCCCAAAUUCAGGGUGUUACAAAUCUAACCCCGUUAACAGAAUCUCGUCCUCGAGAUUCAAGAAGAGACUAGCAAGAGAACAAGAGUGGUUUAUUGGUUUUCACAGCUUUUUUGAGUUAACUUUGACUCUGCGAGCUUAAUUUGCGGGCUGGUUGCUUUGACCUUCAGAUACUUGAGACCAAUUGAUGCAAUUCUUGAGGAUCCCUUGGACCUAUGGGUUAGGACCCACACACGCUUUCGCUGUGCCGCUUCUAUCUUGUUGGUUGAUGUUGAUCGCAUUGUCUUCAUUGGGGUUUGCGGCUAACCCCCUUAACAGGAGCGUUGAUACGCACUUGAUAAAGAUGUCGUCGACUCUGAUCUUGACUGAUUAAGAGAGGUUGGAGGUUGCCAACCGGACAGGUGCAAGAGGAAAGGGUAUAGAUAGAAAAGGUAAGCAUAGAUAGAUUAAAGAGAGAAAAGGGGAGCACCCAGCUACCUAACUCUAUGGCACUCAGCUAGUAAACUGAUGUCAUUGUAGACCAAGGGCCACAACACAUCAACACUCAUUUCAAAGAAGCAAAUCAGUCAUAACACAAAGACAAACAUCACGAGCACACAACAACAAACAUCUCGUUGCUAGACGUUAAUGUUAACUAGAUGGUAGUCUUUCCUUACAAAGGGGAAGCUACUCUAAGGCCAUCGAAAGGCAAGGGGAAUAAUAAGACAUGCAGGAUAGGGGCAUGAGCAUAAUAAAGGAUGGAGCUAAAGCAAGGAUUGUAAUCGACAAGCGAGAAAAUGCAACCAAGGGUAGGGUAGGUAAACACCUGUAAAAUCGAGAUGAGAAAGAUGAUAAUUCAAAAGUUAGGCAUAAGAUAAGCAUCGUGGGAAGACCUAGUGAUUACAAAAGUACAUGAGGUAGCAGGCAAAAUGUACACCAAAAGAUUGGGUUAAGACAAGGCUUGCAACGCGACGGAGGAGAAGGGAACGAACAAGAGCGGGGAGGGGUGAGACAACACUCUUGAACUAAAAUGGGAGAGGAAGUUUUUUUAAAAAAUAUAUAUGGGUACAUGGUGAGCAUCAAGGUAAAGAUCGAGGGAUGACAAGUGUUAAGGUGAUAAUGGACAAACACGCAACAAAGGAUUUAUCUUAGACAAAACUUGCAAGGCGUCAAAGAAGGGGAAGCAAUCAAUGGUGAAAUAGGUAAGACAUUAUCCUCGAACAAGGAUGGAAAAGAGAAGGCUUUAAAUGGGAGGUUCAAGGUAAGCAUGAAGGUAAGGGUAUGAAUAUUACAAGGGUUAAAGGUGAUACCGGACAAGAAUGUAAGAGAGGAGGUAAAUAGACAUAAGACAAAAGAUAUAAGUACCAUAAAGGAUGGAGUUAAGAUAGGACCUGCAAAUGAAAAAGGACAGGGUACGUCCAAGGGCCAGACAAGUAACUUGCCACUCUCAAAUUGAGGUGGAAGAGAGGAGAUUUUUGAAGAGCAGGAAUAAAGAUGAGUAUCAAGGCAAGAUCGAUGGACGGCAAGGUGAGGGUGAUAGCAAAUAAAAACACAGCAAGGGAUGGAAUUAACACGAAACUCGUAAGGCGACAAGAAGUGAAAAGAAAUCAAGGGAGAGGUAGAUAACUCUCAGCCUCAAACUGGGUUGAAGGAAAGGGGAGGCUUUUAAAGGAUAAGCUCAAGGUAAACAUUUAGGUAGAAGACAUAAAUAUUGCAAGGGUCAAGGAUGAUAACAGUCAAGGGUAUAAGAGAAAAGAUGAAGGCAUAGAAGAGUCAGUGGUAUAAGUACAACAAAGAAUGGAGUUGCACCCAAGCUUACACGUAGUAAAGAAGAGGAUAUAGCCAAGGGUGAGGUAAGUAAAACACCACUCUCACAUUGAGAUUGGAGAUUGGAGAUUUCAGAGAACGGACUUAGUGUAAUUACCAAGGUAAGAUCGAGAGAUGAGAAAGGUAGAGGUAAUACCCGACCGGAGCACAACAAAGGAUGGAGUUAAAAACUCGCAAGCGACAAGGAAGGGGAUACGACCAAGGGAAAAUAGAUGAAGUACAACGCUUAGAUUGAGAUGAAAAGAGGAGAUUUUAAAGGGCCAGUAUAAGAUAAACAUCAAGGUAAGAUAUAGAGGUGAUAAGGGUAAAGGUGAUGAUGAUGAUGAAAAGCAUAAUCCAUGGACAGAGUUAGGGCAAGACUUGCAAAGUGACGAAGUGGAGAAAACAAUCAAGUAUAAGAUAAGUGAGGUUCCGACGAAAGAGUUGAAGUAAAAAAAUUCAUUACCAAGUGGAGUUACAAGGAGACAAAGAGAUCACGAAGGAUAUGAAAGGUAAAAUGACCAAUCAUGGAUCAUUAAGAGACAAGGGUGGUCAUGGGCAUGUUAACUAAAAUGUUUUGAACAAUCAUUGGGGUAUGAAAAUAAGUGUACAUAAGAAUAUAAGAGCAUGCAAGAUUCCAAGGAUACGGGCAUACCAAGACAAGGGAAUGGAAUAAGGCAAAGGAUAAUAACUUAACAUCAGAAUAGGAAGGGAUCUCAGAAGACCAGAAGUUCAUGGACAUGUAAACUGGAAUGUUUAAAUAGAUAACAGAGUUUUUUUAGGCAGGUAUUUAAAGCAAGAGUAUUAAAGAAUCUAGGGGUACGAGCAUGUCAAUACCAAGGGGAUAAAUAUAGUCCAGGGGUAGCAAAUUAAUGACGGAGGAAGGAAGAAUCCAAACAGACAAAAAGGUUAUGGUCAGGGGGCAUCUAUAAAGAUGUCGCAAGCACAAGAGUGAGAUCAGAUCUAAUAGAUUGAGAGAAGUAUAGAUCAUACUGGAAUAAAAUACUUUUGGCAAGGGGGCAUAUAGGAGCACAACAUAGAAUUAGUCGAGGUGACUAAUAUUUUGAAGAAGAAUCAAGGAUGAGGUGAAGUAAUAAUCAAUAAGUCCUUAAAAUGGUCAAUGCUACUCUAGGUCAGCGGUCCUACAAUCAGCACGACUUUAAUACCACUUAUGUCACACCCGGUUUUGGAAGGUAAACCGAAUGCGAACCAUGUACGUGCCAGGAUCAGAAAUUCACGUACACGGCGAUUACAUAAAUGACUCAUCAUAGCACAAUGCUUCGAAUUACAAUAAAGAGUAAGUAAUAAUAUUACAGACUAGAGUCAUUUACAUAAUAUAAUCAAAGUACACAGAAUAGAAACGUAGCCAACGUAAAUUAACCCACCACAGGCAGCUGACUGGGGGAGGUCGCUAGCCUAAUCCUCGAACUCGUCGAAAUCAUGGAACUCCUAGAGAUCCGCCUCGACAUCUUCUCCUUUAUCUGAGCAUGGAUUGCACCAAAGGCAGCCUGGUAUUUUGUGAAAGCAAGGGUGAGUACACAUCAACGUACUCAGCAAAUGUCCCGUUUGGCUGAGGUGGACUAGCUUUAUGUGGGGUUAAGCUCAAGCAGUUGCUUUUAGUUGGUCAGGUAUUUAUUAUUUGUAGAAGCCAAGUUUUAUCAUAUAACCAUCCCAUGAGCCAUUUCCUCAUCGAGGAAACAUCAUGAUCAUCAUCGAACCAAAAACAUUAGUAGAACCAUUGUAUCUCGAACCAUCUGUAUCUCUAAUCAAAGAGGAUCCCAAGGCCGCUCAUAACCGUGAGCACGGCUGAUAUAUCAGUUUCAUUACCCUCUGCAGAGGUCGCACACUUUACCCAUGAGCCGUGAUUCCCGUUUUGCCCGGGGAUCAUGACUCCCCAUUGAUCACUUCCUAGGUGGUGCGGCAGGGUAUCACUACGUAGCUUUUACAAAGAUUCCCUAGAGGUCAUAGCCGCCCGUUAGGUUUCUCCAGUUUGAUAAACACAGUACCUCUCCCCGCAGGAGGGUGACUAACAAAAGCAAAACGAAAGAACCUCGGCACUCAGCCUCGGCAGAGCAAGCACUGUGCCUGGACCCCAUUGACGGCACGACGGCGAAGCAACUACACCUCUAGUUCCUCUAAUUAAUUAGCUAAGGGCAUCCCAUUUCACCCUCAUGGUUGCACUGUUAUCCCGGGUGGUCUCUCAACGAACAGGUCCUUACGGAGAGGUACUCGGGAAACAGCCCGAGUCCCCUUAAAUGCCACAAGUAUAUCAUCAUAUCCAGAAUAAAACCAUAGUAUCAUCAUUGUAUCUCAUCAUGUUCAUUGAUUAGAGUAAAGCAAUAGCAUGAAGCUAACCAUAGUAGCCCAAAAGGUAAUCAAGGGUGAGGUAAAUACAAAGCUAGUCAAUCCUUAAGUUGAUCAUGGUAUGCGGUUGAUGAAUUAUAAAGUAAAUGGGACAUAAUAGGUCAGAG